GAAUUCUCACCUCUCCCGUCCUCUCCUUCCCCAAGAGACGCUGCAACUGGAGCUGGGGAGUGACACAGGCUGCAGAAUAACAUCCCCGGGUCCCCUCGGAUUCUCCCAGCCUGCCCAGGGAAGGGAAAUGGAUGCGGCAGAGCAGUCUCAGGGGCCGGUGACCUUCGAGGAGGUGGCUGUGUAUUUCACCAAGGAAGAGUGGGCUCUGCUGCACCCCACUCAGAGAGCCCUCUACAGAGUCAUCAUGCAGGAGAACUAUGAGAAUGU